UUUUUUCCCUCAUUCCGCUCCUUUGUGGGUGCGCAAAAAGGCAACCAGGUUCAAUGAACCUGGGAAGUUCUAUGUUGUUUAUCACCACCAUCAUUCUUCAUCGAUCACCCACCAAAUGGGCUAAGAAGAGAGAUAUAUACAUGUGUUUCAAUGACUUGUCGGGCGACACAUUUCUACAUUAUCAUGCCGGGUAAGGAUCGAGGGUGUUUUCCGAAAGUUGUAUGGUUUGCUAUACUAGAGUUACCAACUAGACCGGUUAGGGAGAUCAAGCUCAAAGAUCCGGAGUCAAAAAUCUUCUCAUGACUCACUAGCUACAAAUAUGCUCGAGAUGGUUGAUCGAUAUAUAUGAAAUGCGAAAAGUUAAGUCAAUAUGGAACUAAAUAUACAUAGUAUUACAUCGAGAGAUUCAAGUGUGACACAAACAUAUGAGUCGUACGUGUUCAUGGCUUGAAGCAUAAGAAAAAAAGAGAGUUCCCCUUUCAAACACUUCAAUCUCUUUCGGAAGAGAAAAUAAAAAUAUAAAUUAUAUGUACUUGUUGUCGUGUACUUCAUUUUCAUCAUUUAUUCUAUUUUGCAUGGACAAACUAAGAUUAUAUAUACGUAUAAUUAUAUAGUUUGGUUGUAAUCUUAUUCUUAAGAUGGGUGAAAAUAAUGUUAUUAUGACUUAUGA